GAAAUCCUGGGGGAUUGGGGCCAAGAAAAGAGAAUCUCUGCUGAGUGCUCCCGCCACCAGCAAGGAUAUGAUGCUCCAGCGACUCCCAAAUUUCCGAAGCCGGGACCUGGUUUGACCGGAAUGGCACUGACCAAGCUAAAAUCUCGGACUCUCUGCAGCAGCCUAAAGCUUAGGAAAGACUGCCACACACACAGAGCACCAGGGUCUUUCAGCCACUUGGGUCAGAGAGAUGCUAUUUCCAUUCUGCGGAUGAGAAAAAGGAGGCAGGCCAUGAUGGAGCCAUGUCCCCGAGGCCAUACGGGGACAGCUGGAUUGGGGACCAGGUGCCACUGGCUUC